UACGUAGGGUCCGAGCGUUGUCCGGAAUUACUGGGCGUAAAGGGCGCGUAGGCGGCCUUCUAAGUCGGACGUGAAAUCCCUCGGCUUAACCGAGGAACUGCGUCCGAUACUGAAAGGCUUGAAUCCGGGAGAGGGAUGUGGAAUUCCAGGUGUAGCGGUGAAGUGCGUAGAUAUCUGGAGGAACACCGGUGGCGAAGGCGGCAUCCUGGACCGGUAUUGACGCUGAGGCGCGAAAGCUAGGGGAGCAAACGGG
rnacentral:rRNA from 1 species